GUACAGCCAUCAUUAUCAUUGAUCAUUGCAUUGCAUUACAUCGUGCACUGCAUGCAGUGAACGUGUUGAUUAGCUGUUACCCUGUUAAAACAGUACAUGAAAUCCAUGUUGUUUUCAUGUGGAAUCUACGUUUUUACAUAGAUUUUACGUAGAUUCAACGUGGAUAUCAUGUACUGUUUUACUGGGUGGUGCUGGUUAUUUGAUAAUAUAAAGCGACGAGAUCGACCGUGUGUGGAAAAAGUGAUUCAUAAAAGCUCAGGGAUUCUUUACACAGCAUACUGUUUAUUAAGUUUGCAGCACGAUUCGACCUCUUUCCAUUCUACACAGAUUCAACAUGGAUAUCUUGUACUGUUUUACUGGGUGCUGGUUGUAUGAUAAUAUAAAGCUCGUAGAGAGAUCGACCGUGUGUGGAAAGAGUGAUUCUUCAAAGCUCAAGGAUUCUUUACACAGUAUACUGUCUAUUAAGUUUGCAGCAAAAUUCGACCUCUUUCCAUAAAAUAGGAAAGACCGCGUGUGAAGUGGAGAGAAAACGAAAACUUAUCACUAAUCUGGAUUUGAAGGAAAUAAAUUUAAAUGGAUUGAUACAAAUUUUGAAGAAACUUUCAAUUCAAAUAUCCUCAUUAGUUGUUGAUCGGAAGAAAACUAAGAUUUUGACGGAAGUACAGGAAGAAUUACGUCGAAUCAGAAUAAGGAAAGACAGAAUUGGAAACAAAUGAGUUUGACAUUACAAAUACAUUGCCACUAGCCACUGAGCAAUAAAUAUUAGAAAUGGAGCGCUUUUUAUUGCACAAAAAAAUUAAAAUUAACUGCGCCAGAUGUUACAAGAAAUUGGUGGUUCCAAUCCAACGGAAAUGACCCGCAAAAUUAUGAGUACACUCUUUACUCUUGAAUUGUGUACAAAAUAAAAAAUUGUGUACGCAUUCAAAGGUAAAAGAACAAAUAAAAAUAACUUCAGUACUUUAAGCAUCUGCAAAGUUAUAGAAAAUAAAAGUCGUAAUAAAAGACAACACAACUAUAACAGAAAUAAACAAAAUAAUAGAAAAUUGGCUUAUUAGAGCAAAGGACAAACUUUUGCGUAAAAAAACACACGCUUUAGCACAAAGUAAUAACACAAGAGAUGAAUAAAAAUCAACAAGAUGGAUAUUUAUGUGAUAUGUCUGUGAUUUUUUAUGAUUAAGCAUAAUUUUUAUUCUAAGUUACUUAUGCCUUAAAAAAUAUAUAUAUAUGUACAAAUAUAUAAACAUGUAUGCAUAAUUAAUAAAUAAUUGGA